rnacentral:rRNA from 1 species
AGAGUUUGAUCCUGGCUCAGGACGAACGCUGGCGGCACGCUUAACACAUGCAAGUCGAACGAGAGAAGAGGAGCUUGCUUUUCUGAUCUAGUGGCGGACGGGUGAGUAACACGUGAGCAAUCUGCCUUUCAGAGGGGGAUACCGAUUGGAAACGAUCGUUAAUACCGCAUAACAUAAUUGAAUCGCAUGAUUUGAUUAUCAAAGAUUUAUCGCUGAAAGAUGAGCUCGCGUCUGAUUAGCUAGUUGGUAAGGUAACGGCUUACCGAGGCGACGAUCAGUAGCCGGACUGAGAGGUUGAUCGGCCACAUUGGGACUGAGACACGGCCCAGACUCCUACGGGAGGCAGCAGAGGGGAAUAUUGCACAAUGGAGGAAACUCUGAUGCAGCGAUGCCGCGUGAGGGAAGAAGGUUUUAGGAUUGUAAACCUCUGUCUUCAGGGACGAAAAAAGACGGUACCUGAGGAGGAAGCUCCGGCUAACUACGUGCCAGCAGCCGCGGUAAUACGUAGGGAGCGAGCGUUGUCCGGAAUUACUGGGUGUAAAGGGAGCGUAGGCGGGAUCGCAAGUCAGAUGUGAAAGCUAUGGGCUUAACCCAUAAACUGCAUUUGAAACUGUGGUUCUUGAGUGAAGUAGAGGUAAGCGGAAUUCCUAGUGUAGCGGUGAAAUGCGUAGAUAUUAGGAGGAACAUCAGUGGCGAAGGCGGCUUACUGGGCUUUAACUGACGCUGAGGCUCGAAAGCGUGGGGAGCAAACAGGAUUAGAUACCCUGGUGGUCCACGCCGUAAACGAUGAUUACUAGGUGUGGGGGGACUGACCCCUUCCGUGCCGCAGCAAACGCAAUAAGUAAUCCACCUGGGGAGUACGACCGCAAGGUUGAAACUCAAAGGAAUUGACGGGGGCCCGCACAAGCAGUGGAGUAUGUGGAUUAAUUCGAAGCAACGCGAAGAACCUUACCAGGUCUUGACAUCGUAUGCAUAGCUCAGAGAUGAGUGAAAUCUCUUCGGAGACAUAUCGACAGGUGGUGCAUGGUUGUCGUCAGCUCGUGUCGUGAGAUGUUGGGUUAAGUCCCGCAACGAGCGCAACCCUUACUGUUAGUUGCUACGCAAGAGCACUCUAGCAGGACUGCCGUUGACAAAACGGAGGAAGGUGGGGAUGACGUCAAAUCAUCAUGCCCCUUAUGACCUGGGCCUCACACGUACUACAAUGGCUGUCAACAGAGGGAAGCAAAGCCGCGAGGUGGAGCGAACCCCUAAAAGCAGUCUUAGUUCGGAUUGUAGGCUGCAACCCGCCUACAUGAAGUCGGAAUUGCUAGUAAUCGCAGAUCAGCAUGCUGCGGUGAAUACGUUCCCGGGCCUUGUACACACCGCCCGUCACGCCAUGGGAGUCGGUAACACCCGAAGCCUGUAGUCUAACCGCAAGGAGGACGCAGUCGAAGGUGGGAUUGAUGACUGGGGUGAAGUCGUAACAAGGUA